CGCGUAGGAAACUGCCUGAUAGUGGGGGAGUAGCCCAGAGAAAUUUGGAUUAAUACCGCAUACGCUCUACGGAGGAAAGCGGGCUUCGGCUCGCGCUAUCAGAUGUGCCUGCGUGAGAUUAGCUAGUUGGUGAGGUAAAGGCUCACCAAGGCAACGAUCUCUAGCUGGUCUGAGAGGAUGAUCAGCCACACUGGAACUGAGACACGGUCCAGACUCCUACGGGAGGCAGCAGUGGGGAAUAUUGCACAAUGGGCGCAAGCCUGAUGCAGCCAUACCGCGUGUGUGAAGAAGGCUUUCGGG
rnacentral:rRNA from 1 species